ensembl:snoRNA small nucleolar RNA SNORA22
UUGCACGGUGAACACCCAAGUGAGCUCUGUAGUUCCCUUGGCAUAACUCUGUGCUAGAGUAACCUGUGCUUUACCCUCUGCAUUGCAAGGAACAUACUUCCUUUCAAAUGUAUUCAAAAGGACAGGACAGUU